UUUUCGCUUGACCUCUUUGCAUGUUGUUUGAUACUCUCUUUUCUCUAUUACUGAGUUACUAGGAUUUGACCUAUAUGAUCACCAUUACUUACAGAUUUUGUGAUUGCAUGACACUUCUCUUUGUCAUAGAUUCAACCUUGCAUGCCUAAUUUUUAUGCACUCUUUAUAUGUUGAAUUUCCCUCUGAACUGACCUUCAAUUGUGAACUAAUUUCAAACCUCCUUGUGUAAUACCGAUUGAUUCUUUCCUGUUUUACUAAUUUCCCUAUUUCUUGGACCAAUUUGAACACUUUCCUUUGAACUUUCGAUCCCUACCUUUUCUACUCAGUUUUAUUAAUUCCCUUACCUUGGUUAUAUUGUUAGUUGAUUCUUGCCGACCUUUCCUUGAUUAGAAUCUGAUGAACCUAGUCUCUAUUACCUAUUGUGUACUUGUACUAUAUUUCCUUAUUAGUCAUACUAAGCCGUAUUUUAUUUCUUUCUGUAUUCAGUACUGGCAUGUUAUUGUUUGAUUUUAACUCCUUAAUUGAAGGGAGUCUUUGAUACUGAUUUGAUUUUAAUUGAUGCAUAGUUCCAUAAUUAUUUUUCUUGCCUUAUUUUCUACCUGUUUUCAAAACUAUAAAUACCCUAGCUUUUUCAUUAACACACACGAACACUCUGACUUCUAAAAUCAAUUACACACAAAUACGCUUAGUUUCUAAAUUCACACUCACACUCAAAAAGUAUUCUCUCAUGUUACUAAUACUGCGGCCUACUUUCAAGUCCUGCUACUUGCUUUUACUGUAUCUUACUCUUUGAAACUGGUAUGUUCUGAUUAAGAUUUUAAGCAAUCACAACAAUGUGUUUACUUAAUAAUUUUACUUUCAUGUCCGCCUAUUGCUGGUGUUUUGUUUAGUAUUUAUUUUAGCAUGCUAUAAUUUCUUAUUCAUGUUCUGUAUUUACUAUGCAUCCCAAACACCUACCCAAAUGUGUUAAUGAUUAUGGUUUGCUUGAGGCAUGACAGUAUUGAAUAUUACUUCCUAUGACUCAAGCUCGAUCUCCUAGGAUCCUAACCUUUAUGUUUUUCUAGCAUUGUGUGCUCUGGCAGGCUUCUAGGCAUGACAUCAUUUUCUAUUGUUGUGCAUGCCCAAAGUCGAUCCUUGCCUAAGCAUAGGCUCUUUGCAACUUCCCAACCCUCCGGACCCUUUUGUAUGAUAUUAUCAACUUGUUUGUGGUUGUUUCCCUCUCCUUUAUUCCCUCAGAACUCUGUUUUCUCACAUGCACUUUCUCUUAGACUUAAGUUCUGCCCCCCUCUUGCGAGCCUUGCCUUGAGAUCCCUCUGAACUUGGACACUUGAGGGCUAGCCCUUCCACACUGCACUUGACCUUAUUUUGGUGAUACAAUUUGGGUGUGAGCACUGCCCGAAGUUCCAUUGAGGCUCUUAGGGAAUUCUGAAACAUUCAAAUUUGAAAAAGGCUUUAGAUAGAUGGUCUUUGAGUUGGUCUAUCUCAUAAUUCAGACAGGAAAUCAAAAUCAGGCUUCCUAUGGUUGUACAUUUCUUUCAUACUUUUUUUAUAUAAUUUAUUUUUGGUUAGUAAUAAAUGUUUGGGGCUGGCUAGUGAAAAUGGUUGGGGUGGCUAUGCAUGCAAAGGGUAGAAAUCAUGCCUAUAGGAUGGUUCUAAUUUUGCAUAUUCAACUACAUAUAGGAACCAGGCCUAUAGGAUUGCUAGUUUUGCAUAUUCCAAACUUCACCUACAAAUCAUGCCUAUAGGACUGUUUAACUUCUAUAUAUUUAAC
rnacentral:lncRNA from 1 species